CGCAUCUGUGCAUGCAGCAUAUCAAUAAGCGGAGGAAAAGAAACUAACAAGGAUUCCCUUAGUAACGGCGAGUGAAGCGGGAAGAGCUCAAAUUUGAAAUCUUCAAGGUUUUACCUUGACGAAUUGUAGUUUAAAGAAGUGUUUUCUGUUGAAGUUUUGGUAAAAGUUCUUUGGAAUAGGACAUCAUAGAGGGUGAGAAUCCCGUAUUUGACCAUUAUUUUCAGCUGUGUGAUACACUUUCAAAGAGUCGGAUUGUUUGGGAAUGCAGUCCAAAAUGGGUGGUAAAUUUCAUCUAAAGCUAAAUAUUGGCGAGAGACCGAUAGCGAACAAGUACCGUGAGGGAAAGAUGAAAAGAACUUUGAAAAGAGAGUUAAACAGUACGUGAAAUUGUCAAAAGGGAAGCGUUUGACACCAGUGUUGUUUUCUCGAAAAUCAAUUAAAAAGAGUUAGAUUUCGUUGUGUAUUGACCUUAACAGCUUGCAUUUCAAUUUUCUUGCUUUUUUUAAUGCACUUUUCGUUUAACAAGUCAACAUCAGUUUCUUUUGUUGUAAAAAGGUCAUUGGAAGGUGGCUUUCCUUUUCGGAGAAAGUGUUUAUAGCCUUUGACUCCUGCAAUCGGAGAGACUGAGGUCUGCAGCGUAGAUCCUUCGGGGUUAGAUACAUUUGUGCUAAGUUAUAGCUUUUUAUAGACAACUUGUUGACUAUGAUUAGUCUUGUAGCUUACUCGCUUAUGCUAUUUUACCUACGCUUAGGAUGUUGAUCUGUAGUGCGUGCGC
rnacentral:rRNA from 1 species